GGGGGGAGGAGCGUGGGUCAUGUGACCCGGAAGCCUGCUGACUGCUGGGAGCCGGCCAGCUUUCAACGGUGACAGGUCGCCAGUGCUCAGGGUUUCUGCCUGUAAUUUAGUCGGAGCAAUGAGGCAGGAGGCUGGCUGUAAUCGUGCAGCAGAAGAGAGCUACGCGCCAAGACUGAUUUCUGUGUUCACUUCAGAACUGCUCUCGCACCGGGAAACCGCUCCACCCUCGGAGAUCUGUGCCUGUCCCCGGGAACCGAGUUUUUGAACAAUCUGUCAGCCAAACCGGCAGUGCUGUGAGGACUAAAGUCUGCCCCUCCGCCCCAAGUUUGCGUGUAGAACCUUUAACCCCCGAUAUCUCAGAAUGUGCCUGCAUUUGGAGCUUCAAAGAUGUAAUUAAGGCAAAAUGAAGUCGUCAGAUGGGUGCUUUUAAACCAACAUGACUGGUGCUUUUGUUUAAAUACAGAUAGGGGCAUUAAGUUCCCAGCCUGCCGGGUGGUCAUCUACCAGCCAGAGAGGCCUAGAAGAAACAGCCCUGGUACAGCGAGAUGGCUCUGGUAUCCUUCUGUAAAUAAAGUUACGAGGUGGUUUGUGAGGCGCCCUGUUCAGGCUUAGGGAUGAGAAGAACGUUGACAUGAGACUUGAGGAGAAACCAGCUGCCAUGCUACCAAGCCACUCAACAAGACCUUGGAGACACUGCUGCCUUCUGAAGACUGAGCCUCCUGCCAAUAGCCUGUAAGUAACUGAGUUGGUCCAGUAGUCAAAAGAAUGAAUGUAAAACAUGCCUCUCCCAAAUAUGCCACUCUGGCCUGCUGUUCUGAGAAAGCUGAUUCAGCAACGACUUCAAGAAACACUCAUUACCUUUGUAAAAGGAGAUGAAAGCCAGCCAGCAUUGGGGAGAGAGGGUGCCCUCCCUGAUCCAUACUCCUGUCACUAGAGGUGAGAAGUAAAGCUGGAAGAAAUCUGUACAAAUCUGCCUUGUUAACUAAUCCUUCCUAGUCAUUCCUGCCAUAACUAACCUCUUGUGAUGUUUUUCUGUCAGCUUAGCAGCUGCACACAAAUCUACUUCUAUUUUAAUUAUCCUGUGCGGGCCCACGGCCACUCAGUCAACACCCAGCCAGUCACUCAGGCCACAACCAAGAGGGCCUUCCAGUCCUGCUCUGGCUCUGCUGAGCUGCGGGUUUAAACUAAGUCUCUAUUGUUCUGUUUACCAACAAAUAAGUGUAAGUCAGAUGUGGGGGUGAAAACAUAUUAGAUCAGAGAAGCCAAGAAGCAACCAGCUGACCUUGCUUUUUAGCCAGAGACCAUCUCUUCACUCCUCCCAAAACAGAAGGAAGUGCCAAACUCCAGUCCCCACUCUUUCCUUCCUGUGUGUCUUCUCUAUCCAUAGUCCUGGCUUCUCUAUGGCCAAUUCCAGUCAGCUAGUCCCCGCUACCUCAUUCAGACCAGAAAGCAUUUAAUUGGGAGCUUGCUUAUAGUUUUAGAGUUAGUCUGUGAUCAUCGUGGCAGGAAGCAGGCGCAUGGUACUGGAGCAGUAGCUGAGAGCUUUACAUCCUGACCCAAGGACAACAGUCACUCCUGAGGUCUGGUGUGGACUUCUGACACCUGAAAGCCCACCCCCAGUGACACACAUCCUCUCCAAGGCCACACUGCUUAGUCCCUCCUCAACAGGUAUAAGCAUUCAAACACGAGCCUAUGGGGGCCAUUCUCAUCUAAACCACCACACUGGCCUUUGUCCAACAACGCAGAAUAUUUUUUCCUUUUUUUUUGACACAACCCUGCCGGCCUGCUGUGCAAAACAUAUAGCCAAUAAAUAGGUGUGGUAUUCCCAUUAAUGUGUCACUGGUGAGUCUCAUCACACUCCCUACCAAAAACUCCAGCACCCCAGACACCAUAGGUAGAAUUUUUCCACCC